AGGAAGUCCCACUAUUCCCUAUGGAGGAUGAGAGGCUGAGAAUUUCCAGCUUACGCUGUGAUGUGGAUUUAUUACAACGGUCCUUUCUUACCUUCUCUCUGUUUAAAUGAAGGCAUUUAAACUAGGGUUUAUUGGGUGGGUCACUCCAAACGAUCAUAGGCGUCUGAUGGACAUCUGGCGUUGCGGUUUUGUUGCUGCUGGUCUCUCUUUCUGGUUUAUUCCUACUGUGCAGUAGCUACAGAUGACCGUGCACUUUAUAAACAUUUGGCAACGGGGGAAUGGCGUUUUCUGGGAGCAACCGGUAUUUUUCACCUGUGGUGUAGUUAAUGGUAGGAAGUAAUCCCCAGGAAGCACAAUUGGGGUUGCCUACGGUGGAGUUCAGUUGUACUGCACGGCCUAGGUGGGGAAUAGAAUUGAUACCUAGGUUUACCUUGAUUCUUCAGAAAGGAAUUCAAUACUGAAUAAAUAAUAGAAGUUGGUGCGGUUUGGACCCCUGAAGUAUUCAAUGUUACGUGACAGCUUUGCACUGUUGCUGUCCCGUACAGUCUGGAUCUGCAAGCUGCAUUAUUUAGUUCAACAGACAGGAACCCUUCGGAACUGCUGCCACGAAUAAUAGUGGACUGUGGGGG
rnacentral:sRNA from 2 species